rnacentral:rRNA from 1 species
UACGGGGGGAGCAAGCGUUGUUCGGAAUCACUGGGCGUAAAGGGAGUGUAGGCGGUUCGGUAAGUGGGAUGUGAAAUCCCCGGGCUCACCCCGGGACCUGCAUCUCAUACUGCUGAGCUUGAGUACAGGAGAGGGUGGGAGAAUUCCUGGUGUAGCGGUGAAAUGCGUAGAUAUCAGGAGGAACACCGGUGGCGAAGGCGCCCACCUGGCCUGCUACUGACGCUGAUGCUCGAAAGCUAGGGGAGCAAACGGG